rnacentral:rRNA from 1 species
UCCGUAGGUGAACCUGCGGAGGGAUCAUUACUGAGUUUACGCUCUAUAACCCUUUGUGAACAUACCUAUAACUGUUGCUUCGGCGGGUAGGGUCUCCGCGACCCUCCCGGCCUCCCGCCUCCGGGCGGGUCGGCGCCCGCCGGAGGAUAACCAAACUCUGAUUUAACGACGUUUCUUCUGAGUGGUACAAGCAAAUAAUCAAAACUUUUAACAACGGAUCUCUUGGUUCUGGCAUCGAUGAAGAACGCAGCGAAAUGCGAUAAGUAAUGUGAAUUGCAGAAUUCAGUGAAUCAUCGAAUCUUUGAACGCACAUUGCGCCCGCCAGCAUUCUGGCGGGCAUGCCUGUUCGAGCGUCAUUUCAACCCUCAAGCUCUGCUUGGUGUUGGGGCCCUACAGCUGAUGUAGGCCUUCAAAGGUAGUGGCGGACCCUCCCGGAGCCUCCUUUGCGUAGUAACUUUACGUCUCGCACUGGGAUCCGGAGGGACUCUUGCCGUAAAACCCCCCAAUUUUCCAAAGGUUGACCUCGGAUCAGGUAGGAAUACCCGCUGAACUUAAGCAUAUCAAUAAGCGGAGGA